ACGGCCCCGCUUGGGCCCCGAGGACCGCGCCCGCUCGGGGGCUGCUCCCGCGGCUCCCCCGCCCCGGUGCGCGGUGCCGCUCCGCCUCCGCGGGCAGUGCGCAUGCAUGAGGCGGCUGCCCAGCCCGUGAGUCACGGCUCCGCUGCACAGCCGCUCCCCAGCAGCAGCGGAAAGGCGGCCACCAUGAACCGCUUGGGGAAGAAAGCAAAUGAGACGCUCAUCGAGAUGGCUCUGUCGGCGGACGAUGACAUUGCGAUUCUCACCAAGUUCAAGCCAUCACAGUCAGAAGGGGAAGAGUGCAACGGACCUUUAAGUGAAACUAUUUCAACUGCAGGAUCAGAAAUCCCAAGCAGCUCUGAGGGCCUAAACAGCACUGAGACUACUUUACUCAUCCCUGAACAUCAAGUGAUUGAUAAAAGACAUCAAAGCAAAGAUUCUAUUUUCUUCAGGGAUGGUGUCAGGAGAAUUGAUUUUGUUUCUCUCCUAUGUGGAUGA
rnacentral:lncRNA from 1 species